AUCAGAGUAAAAUCUGCACAGAUGUUCAGUGUGAAGAUGCUGAUGAGAGAUUCAGAGGCAGACUGAAGGUGGAUCAUCAGACUGGAUCUCUGACCAUCACAAACACCAGAACCACAGACUCUGGAGAUUAUCAACUAAAUAUUACCAGCAGCAGGAUCACCAUCAUUAGGAGCUUCAGUGUUUCUGUCAUAGAUUCAGGUCUGUCUCCAGCUGCUGUAGCAGGAAUAUGUGUUGUUGUUCUGUUUGUGGUUGUAGCUGUUGGUACACAAUAUAGACUACAUGAGCGGCAAGUAUUAGAUACAGCUGAUUUAUUGAACUGGAAAUACAAGAUUUAUAAUUAAAGUCAUUUGUUUAAUUGUGUUUGUUUUUCAAACAGGCAUCAGCAACAUGAUGAUCGGGUGAGGUACUAUGUAUGCUGAAUGUGUGAGACGUGAAUAUUCUGCAAGAUGAAAAAAAUGAAGCCAUCUGAACUGAAGCACUGACAUAUUCAUUCAAAAGAAAAGGAUGGAGAGAAGAGGAGUGGAGCAAGAUAAUCUGAAACUGUGCUUGCUCAUAGAAAUAAUAUUGUCAAUAUACCAAGAUUUCACUUUUCCUAAUAUUCAAAUGGUUAGAGAGUCUUGUAACCCAAAGGUCGCAGGUUCGAGUCUCAGUACCGGCAGGAUUUGUAGGUGGGGAAAGUAGCGCUCUCUUCCACCUUCAGUACCACGACUGAGGUGCCCUUGAUGCAGAGCACAUAUUCCGAGAAUGGAUUACCAUACUUGACCACAG